rnacentral:pre_miRNA from 14 species
AUUUUUAUUAUCACAUGGCAGACUCCAUUGUGGAAGAUAUAAUGGUGAAAGAUCCCCGAAGAGAGACCCUUACUCAAGUCUCAGGAAAUCGCGGACCCUAGACACAGAGAGACCA